AUUCCAGCUUUGUUGCAUUUUAUUUCUUGAAAUACACUAAAAUAAAUUUAAAAGCAAGUGUUUUGCUUGCUAGUACCCAGUUAUUAUAACUACCUAAGAACAUAGGUGCAGAUAUUUUAAUUAUGCACUAUGAAAGCCUAAGUAUUUUCUAGCUUCUGUCUUCUCUUUUCCAAAGUCUCUCUUUCUUUGGAGGUGUUGAACAUGAAACUGUCUGUAGCCAACACACCAAGGAAUCAAACUGAAGGUGGAAAAGGGCUUUUCUGUUUAAAUAAGUCUAUUUGUAAACAAAACUUCAAGAGGGGAGGAAAACAUUGGAUUAUGUUCUCAAGCCUAGCAGAAGGGAAGCAACAACUUCUGCAGCCUGCUGGGAUUUUGAUUGCUAUUGAUUUCAAAGUUAGAAGCCCAAACAACUGCAAUUGUACCAGAAGUGAUUCUCCCAACUCCCGUUGAACUCAGAACUCAGCGAGAGCUCUGGCUAAGAGCUGCUGCCACUUGGAAAGGUGUGGGAGAUAUUGUUAUUAUUAUUAUUAUUGUUGUUGUUCUUAGCAGCAGUGAUCAGCACUGCUGCAUUCACUGCUCACAGCCCCUGCUGAGUCACCUUGAUCCGCAAUAUUUUCUGCACCUGAGUGGGAACAAGGGAUUUACCAGAAAUCCUGUCAGAAAAUCUUGGUUUUUCCUCCUUCAGAUAGCAGUGACUCUGUGUAAGUGACUCCAUCUAAAUACAGAUCUCUAAUAUUUUUAAGAAGUGUCUCAUGAGGCACACUGAAUGCUUACCUUUUUAAUUCUUAUUUUACACAUUGUAGAAGGUUAUACACCUAUAAAGAUAUAUACACAAACAAAAAAAAAAUAUUUCCUAAAACUUUUCGUGUUUUCUUUAUAAGCCAGGGUUCAAAGCCAUUUCCUGCUGUUUAGAAGCAUGAGGUUGAAUGGAUUUUUCAGCAGCCUGAAGUAGAUUUUUAAUCUAGCAAAAUGACAUUGUGACUAAUUUAAAAAACAUGGAUAAACAGAUUGGUGUUUGCUUACACAUGGGGGAAUCAUCAAACCUACUGAUUUUGCAAACAGGAGGCUGGAGGAUUUAAUGAAUGUUAUUUUAAAAACUCAUAUGGACAAAGCUGUAAAUCAGUCCCUGCUAAAUUAUCUUCCCUGUUUAAUUCCCAUUCUUCAUCACAUUUAUUGUAAGACCAGUUCUAUGCAUUAUCACUUUGGCCAGAUUUUAACCCAAGUUACUUCAUGUCCUGUCCAUCAAAUACUGUCUUUGUUCUUCCAUGCUGGAAAAUAAUAUAUAUAUGGUCUAACACUGUGAGAUUCUUGUUCUCUUGUCUUUAAUGAGUGGUGAAAGAUUUUCUUACUGCUCUGUUUUCCUAUUUUUAUAUUAAUAUAUUGAAACUAUGGUGGGGGGGUUAUUUCAGAUCAGUUUCCUCUGGGUCUUGUUCAGUUGACUUCUAAUACUUUCCUCAAGAAAAUAUUAAAAUAGGAUCUAUAGAGUCCUCAAUGGGAUUCUCAAAAAUUUGGAGGUUUUUGAGUGGAAAUCAGAAUCUUAAAUGUCUUUACGAAUUCACUACCCACCUGUAUAAAUCUCCAAUGGAUUCAAAUCACUUAUAACUGUAAAUAGUUUAUCUAUUUGUCUGUAUUUUUGGGGUGAAGCCCCAAGUGCACUGCUUGCUGCUCACUUGGACGGCUCAUCAACGUUUGUUUUCAUCUUUAUUUUAUAGAUAUAUUGGGAGUUUUUAUUUUAAUUUCCUCCUGCUGUAGUGAAAGCCCCGAGAAGCUGACACAAUCUUGAUUGUUUCACUCACAAUGAGCACAUCAAACAUUUCAGAAACUUAUCUCGAACAUUGGAUAUUAAAAGCAGACAGAAAUAAUUCUGUCAGCAACAAUUAGACCAGGAAAACGUAAUUGGAGGCAAAAAAGGCUUUUGGUGCUUCCUGUAUACAAGAUAUACAAUUAUCAGCUUUCAGCUCCCAAGCAUGAUUUAUUAGUUACAGUAGUUUGGCUUUGAAGCACUGAGCAGCCUGGGCUCACUUGUGUGGGGGCUCCAACAUCUGUCCUGGCAAUCCUCUUCCAGGCUGCCUUGGAGGAAUUAGGAGAUGGCAACACGAGUUCUGACAUGGAUAUCAGACAGCCAGAGUUAGGAGAGAGGGUUUGGAAGGGGAUAUUCCAUUAUUUCAUUGCCCCUUUUUAACUCAAUAACUCCUCGAACUGUUUGUUUUUAUUAUUCCAGAUGGGAGCAAGAUGCAUUUAAAUGAAUAAAGUGAAAUAGAACAAAUCAAAUGCUUGGCUGCUGUUCAAGAGCUGCUAGGGCUGAGCUUUAUUAAAUUCACAUGAGGAUAUGAUAACUGUGGAAUUUCACACAAUGAACUGCACUAAUCUUACUCAUGAAGAACAUAAUUUUUCUUGGGAUAGAUGAGAGAAUCUGAAUUUUUGUAAUGAAAAAAACAAAGCCUCUUUGGAGUUUUAUUUUCUGAGGGCAUUCACUGCUUGAGUGAAAUCUGUCCAUGUCCCACAAACAGAAUCUUCAUGCACAAUCCAUUUUUUACACAUCAAAAGUUCCAAGGGUUUGUUCUUCCUCCAUGGCAAUGUGGAGAAUACUUCAAAGUAAGCUACUGUGUUCUGUGUUAGAACUAUUCCCUGUGUCAUCUACAGCCCCUUUAGGAAUAAGCAUAUCUAUGUUUUAAAAGAGGGCAAAAGCAUGAAAGUUUAAAAUUAUAUUAGAUACAUUUAAUUUAUAUUUAAAUAGGAAAAAUUUAAAGCAGAGCAAACCAAAUAUUUUUAAUGAUUAUUUGCAAGAUAUAAUUCACAUUGAUGCAUUUUCUUUUCUUGUGACUUCAGAUCAUUUUUAUGCCUCUGCAGUAGAAUGGCUCUCUAUAAGUUAAUGUUUUUCACACAUUUCCUGUUAUUUAAUGAAAUGAUCUAUUUUUCCUUUUUUUUUUUUGAAACUCCAAAAUUGCUGUUGAAAAUUUCUGAUGAUAUAAUAUUACAUUUCCCCCCUCAGAACUACAAAAGUAAAAUUCCUGACAAUACUCUCACAUGACACAUUUUGUUACAUUUUCUAUUUAAAUGCAGUGUAGAGCUGCAUUCAUAAACUAUUUCCCUGUAUCUAAAAUGCUAAAAAGAAAAUGAAAAUGCUAAAACUCAGAGUUAAAUGAUGGAGGUCCCAAAUCUAUUGACAACCUUUUCUUUAACCAAAAAAAAAAAAAGAAUUUGAAAUAAUAUGGGAAUUUUUUGUCGGCACUGAUGAAUUAUUACCUUCCCAAAGUCAUGUAUAAUUAGAGUGGAUAUCACUCUAACUAUAAAAUAAAUAAAUUAAAAUUAAAAUGAAUAAAAUUAAAAAGAGUAAAAGUCAAUUGCUGGUUUGAUGAGAUCUCACGUGUUUGUGUAAUAUCAAAGUUAUCAAUUUUCUUUUGUGGGGCUGAAUAACUCAUUUAGUGUUGUCUCCUUUGAAAAUGAGUGAGAGACACAAUCUGUCUGCUUGAUGAACUGCAGGAAUUCAUCAAAGCCACAAAUGUGGAGCUCACCUGAACGCUCCCUGCACCUUUUCCUGAAACCAGCAGAGCAAGGGUCUGCAGUGAAUCCAUGGGACACGUGGUCGUAAUAUUUUGAGAGGAUAUGUAAAAACAGAUAGGUGGGAAUGGAAAACGCCUUCCUUACCAUGUAAACAACAAAGAAAAUAAACCUGAAUUUUGUCACCUUGCUGUUUGGUGUGUGGUUGAGGAUGAUUGGGGUUCUCUCAAGGAGAGGCAGGAGUGUGUUGGCUGUAGCCCAUGGGGUUUAUGGAGCCACAUCCAGGUGCUGGUGAGAUCUCACCAAAACAAUGGCCAGAGCAGAUCCCUCUCACAUACCAACAUUUUGUGAAUAUUUCAGGAGAAGUCCUGAGGUGAUGCUUUCCUUGUAACUAUCUUUGGGUUCCUUUUAUUGUCUUUUGCACAUUUAGAGCAGAAAUGCUGAGAGAGGGGAUGAGGGAAGGUGUGCCAGGCCUGGAUAUCUCCUGGCAGGGCAGGGCAGAGAGGACAAGCAGAGCACCAACAGCCCUGCCCUUCACUUGGGCUGAUGGAAUUCUGCAUGUGGAGACAGACACUCGGAGUGAUUUCUUCCAAGUGAUAAUAGUUUCCGUUUUGAAUGACUAUAAAGGUAACAGAAAUAUAUAUUUUUUUAUGAAAGAGGUUGGAAUUCAUUUCUUCUGUAGGAGGUGAAGACAGGGAGCCACACAGAGAGAAUCACUGCUGUAGCUCACACAAGCUGCAGUGAGUCACUCGAACGCUCUUUCCUCUGGGUACUGUGGGAGGUAACUAUGUGAACACUUGGCUUUCAGAUAGCUGAGGCUGAGUAAGAUGGAUUCUGAAAUC